UACAGAGGUCCCAAGCGUUGUCCGGAAUCACUGGGCGUAAAGGGCGCGUAGGUGGCCUGAUAAGGGUGUGGUGAAAGUCCGGGGCUCAACCCCGGGAGGCGGGUGGAUACUGCUCAGCUCGAGUCCGGAAGAGGAGUGUGGAAUUCCUGGUGUAGCGGUGAAAUGCGCAGAUAUCAGGAGGAACACCAAUGGCGAAGGCAGCACUCUGGGACGGUACUGACGCUGAGACGCGAAAGCGUGGGGAGCAAACAGG
rnacentral:rRNA from 1 species